AAAAUUCAUCAGUGAAAGGCUCCUUUUCGCCCUCCUUGCCAUUCUUCUAGUCAUCAAACUGCUAGCAGUCAAGAUUCUUUUUGUUCUUCCUGCCAUAAUCGGUGUGGCAGCUGCAAAGAAGCUCAUCUUGAAAGUUUUGCUGUUCCUAUUUCCUGCGCUUCAUCACCUCUUCAAACUUUGUGCCUAUACACCGUAUGGAGCAAAACAUCAUAUUCACAAACAUCAGAUUUCACAUGUUCACCAGAUUGGACACAAACAUCAUCCCUCAUAUGGACAUGGUGGAUAUGUAGAAGUCGCUGCACCUCAUCUUGAAGGGCUACCAAAUUCACACUAUUUUGACCGAAAGAAAUAUAACGAUCCUUAUGAUGAACCAGAUUUGUAUCCUAAAAAUGAAUUUAUUUCUCAUAGAAACGACCCGGAAACAGAAGAGAACGAAGUUAAUCCAUGGGUUCAAGGUCAAACAACGAGACGUCCACAAUCAGUGAGGCCGCCUACUCCGACUGAAAUUGAAAACAUUGUUCUGAAGGCGGAGAAAGAAGCUCUU